UACGUAGGGUGCAAGCGUUAAUCGGAAUUACUGGGCGUAAAGCGUGCGCAGGCGGUUCUAUAAGACAGAUGUGAAAUCCCCGGGCUCAACCUGGGAACUGCGUUUGUGACUGUAUGACUAGAGUACGGUAGAGAGGGGUGGAAUUCCUGGUGUAGCAGUGAAAUGCGCAGAUAUCGGGAAGAACACCCGUGGCGAAGACGGCUCUCUGGGACGGUACUGACGCUGAGACGCGAAAGCGUGGGGAGCAAACAGG
rnacentral:rRNA from 1 species